CACGUAGGCGGCUUCUUAAGUCAGGGGUGAAAUCCUGGAGCUCAACUCCAGAACUGCCUUUGAUACUGAGGAGCUUGAGUCCGGGAGAGGUGAGUGGAACUGCGAGUGUAGAGGUGAAAUUCGUAGAUAUUCGCAAGAACACCAGUGGCGAAGGCGGCUCACUGGCCCGGUACUGACGCUGAGGUGCGAAAAGCGUGGGGAGACAAACA
rnacentral:rRNA from 1 species